rnacentral:rRNA from 1 species
CCUACGGGAGGCUGCAGUGGGGAAUAUUGCGCAAUGGGCGAAAGCCUGACGCAGCGACGCCGCGUGAGGGAUGAAGGUCUUCGGAUCGGAAACCUCUGUCAGCAGGGAAGAACGGUCACUGUGCUAAUCAGCAGUGAAGUGACGGUACCUGCAAAGGAAGCACCGGCUACCUCCGUGCCAGCAGCCGCGGUAAUACGGAGGGUGCGAGCGGUAAUCGGAAUUACUGGGCGUAAAGCGCUCGUAGGCGGUAUGUCAAGUCAAGGGUGAAAUCCCCGCGCUCAACGUGGGAACUGCCUUUGAAACUGUCAAACUGGAGUGUGUGAGAGUCUAGUGGAAUUCCAGGUGUAGGCGU